UACGAGGGGGGCGAGCGUUGUUCGGAAUUAUUGGGCGUAAAGGGUGCGUAGGCGGUUCCGCAAGUCCUGUGUGAAAUCUUCGGGCUCAACUCGAAGUCUGCACGGGAAACUGCGGGGCUUGAGUGUGGGAGAGGUGAGUGGAAUUCCUGGUGUAGCGGUGGAAUGCGCAGAUAUCAGGAGGAACACCGGUGGCGAAGGCGGGUCUCUGGGCAGUAACUGACGCUGAGGAGCGAAAGCGUGGGGAGCGAACAGG
rnacentral:rRNA from 1 species